CACAGUCCACUGAGGAGAACCAAGGC
rnacentral:piRNA from 1 species